GCAUACCCUCGUCUCUAUAUAUAUAGCUAUACCUCCACUGAUUUAAAAAUAAUAAUACUAGGAGAAUGUUGAACAUUGUGGGGCGAGCGUAAGAAAACAUGCUUGUUUUACGAAUUAAAAGAAAUAUGUUGUAUUUAAAUUCAAGGUUAUUAAUUUAGUAUACGUAGUAGAAGCAUUUUACAUUCGCACUGGUAGUUAUCAAGGUCGCGUAACUGAGUUCAUGACAGUACCAUUAUAAGAACAUGAGAAGGGCUGUGCAGAGAUUAGGUUGUCAGCAGUGACUUCGGCUUCAUCUAUUUCAGCAAUUGCUGCUACAUUUUGGCCAAAUACGUCCAAUCUUGAAUCCACGUGGAAGUCGGUAAGAUCAUGAGUCCCAAAAGUAAACCAUUGUGCCGGUCCAUGACGUAUGGAUACAUACAGACAAAAUUGCAACGGUGGAAGUCGGCAAGGAUCAUGAGUCCCAAAAGCAAAUCAUUGUGCCGGUCCAUGACGUAUGGAUACAUACAUACAUACAGACAAAAUUGCAACGUUGAAGACUAGGUAAACUAAAGAGGGUUCUCAACAAGCUUAGAUAGCUAGCUGCUCAGACGAGGAGGCGAAAGAUCAGUUCUCUGAGUGACCAUACUAUACAAGAGAUUGCAUGGCGGAACAUAACUAUGUGCAGUUUGAAUAAGAUUUGCCAUGGCGACCAGUACCUUCCACACUCGCUAGUGACUACUUAGACUAUAACAUUAAAUAUUGUGUACGUGCAUGAUGUUGACUUUUACUACAUGUGCUUAUGCUUAUGUAUACAUAAUAUUAAAACGUCA